GCUGGGCGUGGUGUAUGCCUGUAGUCCCAGCUACUCGGGAGGCUGAGGUGGGAGGAUCGCUUGAGCCCAGGAGUUCUGGGCUGUAGUGUGCUCUGUUGAUUGGGUGUCUGCACUAAGUUCAGCAUCAAUAUGGUGACCUCCUGGGAUCAGGGGACCACCAGGUUGCCUAAGGAGGGGUGAACCGGCCCAGGUUGGAAACGGAGCAGGUCAAAACUCCCGUGCUGAUCAGUAGUGGGAUUGCACCUGUGAAUAGCCAGGACACUCCAGCCUGGGCAACAUAUGAGACCCCGUCUCUA
ensembl:misc_RNA Metazoa_SRP Metazoan signal recognition particle RNA